rnacentral:rRNA from 1 species
GACGAACCGUGCGAACGUUGUUCGGAAUCACUGGGCUUAAAGGGCGCGUAGGCGGGCAGGCAAGUCAGGGGUGAAAGCCCACGGCUUAACCGUGGAAGUGCCUUUGAUACUUCCUGCCUUGAGGGGGAUAGGGGCGUGCGGAACUUCCGGUGGAGCGGUGAAAUGCGUAGAUAUCGGAAGGAACACCGGUGGCGAAGGCGGGUCUCUGGGCCGAUACUGACGCUGAGGAGCGAAAGCGUGGGGAGCGAACAGG